rnacentral:rRNA from 1 species
AUUGAACGCUAGCGGGAUGCCUUACACAUGCAAGUCGAACGGAUUGGCGAACGGGUGAGUAAUGUAUCGGAACUUGCCCAGUAGCGGGGGAUACCUACGCGAAAGAGUAGCUAAUACCGCAUACUAUUGGAGCGGCCGAUAUCGGAUUAGCUAGUUGGUGGGGUAACGGCUCACCAAGACGACGCUCCGUAGCUGGUUGGAGAGGACGACCAGCCACACGGGGCCUGAGAGACGGCCCAGACUCCUACGGGAGGCAGCAGUGGGGAAUUUUGGACAAUGGGGGAAACCCUGAUCCAGCCAUCCCGCGUGUGCGUUGAAGGCAUUCGGGUUGUAAAGCAUUGUUGGUAGGAAAGCGGUACCUGCAGAAUAAGCACCGGCUAACUACGUGCCAGCAGCCGCGGUAAUUC